CCUGGAGCAUCUUGCGCAUGGGCGGAAGCCUGACGCACGCGCACGCCGCGUGGAUGAUGAAGGCCUUCGGGUUGUAACCCCUUUUCUUGGGGACGAAUGUGCUGGGUCCCAUUGGAUUAGCCCUUGGCUAUUCCGUGCCAACAACCCCCGGUUUCAAUCCUGGCCGC
rnacentral:rRNA from 1 species